rnacentral:rRNA from 1 species
GGUGAACGCUAGCUACAGGCUUAACACAUGCAAGUCGAGGGGUAACGAGAGGAAAGCUUGCUUUCCUUGUCGACGACCGGCGCACGGGUGAGUAACACGUAUCCAACCUGCCCCCAACUAAGGAAUAACCUUGCGAAAGUAAGACUAAUACCUUAUAAUUUCCUCAGAUGACAUCUGACGAGGAAUAAAGAUUUAUCGGUUGUGGAUGGGGAUGCGUCUGAUUAGCUUGUUGGCGGGGUAACGGCCCACCAAGGCAACGAUCAGUAGGGGUUCUGAGAGGAAGGUCACCCACAUUGGAACUGAGACACGGGCCAAACUCCGACGGGAGGCAGCAGUGAGGAAUAUUGGUCAAUGGGCGGAAGCUUGAACCAGCCAAGUAGCGUGCAGGAUGACGGCCCUAUGGGUUGUAAACUGCUUUUAUACAGGAAUAAAGUUAGCCACGUGUGGUUAUUUGUAGGUACUGUAUGAAUAAGGACCGGCUAAUUCCGUGCCAGCCGCCGCCGUAA